CUUAAAGCUAAAGCAAAUGCCUGCCGCGCCUGCAUCCUGGAGGGCUGUGAGGCCAGAUGGGGUGGAAACGUUUGGGCACUGCAUGGAAUUUUCCGGAUUUAAGGAAUCUGCCUGACCUGCCGCUGGUCCGGCGGUUGUCACAGAAGUCCCCCCAGCCACUGGACAGGGAGCCCAGAGUUCCCCGGUGGCUCAGUGGGUAAAGGAUCUGGCAUUGUCAUCACUGUGGCUCUGGUCACUGCUGUGGUACAGGUUUGAUUCCUGGCUCUGGAACUUCUGUAUGCCAUGGGCGAAGUCAAAAAACAAAACAAAACUAUUUUAUAGGAAACCCUAAAUACUUGGGAAGGGCAUUUCGAGAGCACCAAGAAGAAACAUCAAGAAAAGAUCACACAGCCUUAAAAGAGGUGCUGGCCACUCCUGCCAUGGGAGCCCAGGCCGGCCUCUCCGAUGGACAAACCACAGGAAGGAAAGAGUGGGUGUGUCUGACCCUGUGGGCCCACGGGCUGCACGUGGACUCCCCCACCCCCCCGUGAGACACAGCGGCACUGGUACUGGAUACACCCACCCCCUCUCAGCAGCGGCCUGGGUGUUCAGAGGCAGGAGGACAGGGUGGACACCCGCAGAUCAGCACUUUGCUAAACCCCUGGGGUUGGGAGGGGCGCACAGUCACGCGCCCCCUGUGUCAGAGGGCAAGUUCAGGGUCAGAGAGCGUGUGAGGGGAGGUGGGACACGGCAGGUCCUUGGCUGUAAGGCUCUUCCUGGCUUGUGGCUGCAAACUGCAGGUCACCCCCUGGGAAGAGGCAGCUGUGCCCCAAAAGCCUGCUUGGCACAUGGGUACUAGGACCCACCAGGCUGGCUUUUAAGGCUGUGAAAAGCCAGCGGGGUGGAGGAUGCUGGGGGCUUCUGAGCUCCCUGCGGGCAGCGGCCACGGUCCAGACCAGGUCCCACGUGUCCCCGCGGCAACACGCCUGGCAGCGACCGGUCAGGCCGGGAUGGGGUGUGUGAGUGUGAGACCCCUCGCUCCUGAUUCCUCCCUGGCCCAAAUCUCCAUCCUAAUUAUGCUUCUGCGCGUCUCCCUUUGGGAUGGGGCAUUCGACACUCCACGAGUUGCAUGUAAUUAGACGCAGUGGAGCAUGCUGGAGGUUCUGUUUUAUUAAAGGAAAAUGGAAAUAAAUGCACCUCGGAGAGGAGAUGAAACCAUGAAGUCGCAGAGAAAGGAAUGAGCCCGAAGGUUCUCUGCGCUGUGCUCGGUAUGGAUUCCUCAGGUUACCAGUGAAAUGGUCUUUGAAAGCCAUUUUCUUUAUUUCCCCCCCUUUUGAACUGAUUCUCUCCAACCAUCCAGCACAGAUUCAGAACCAUUAACCUGGAAAAGAGGGGAAAAGUGAAGGUCGCCUUGGUAACGGGAGGCUUUGAGCGGCGGCAUCUCACCGCCUGGCGGAUCUGAUCCUGAGUUCUGGAACUGCUCUGGCGGCCAGGCUCUCCGCAUCCUUGCCUGGAGGCCCCCAGAAGCUUGAGAAAGACCACCCAACAGCCCCGAGUCACAGGACCCACUCCGCCCGGGGACACAGCCCUGCCUGUCCCUCAGGAGUCGUAAGCUGCUCUUGGUGUCUGCUGCAAACCUGCCGUCUCCCUAUUUUAUCCUCAAGUCUUUGUUUAGAUCAUCAGAAAGGAUUUGGGAAAUAAAAUAGUCCCCUUUGACCCAGAAACUCCCCCCAGCGUCUAGCCGAACGAACUCACCUGCAAGAUGGAAACACCUUGGGCCUGAAGUGUUUAGGACAGCGUUUUUAGACUGGCGACAGACGGCAGCUUGGACAUAAAACAGGAGGAGGAAGAUGAUGUAACUUAUAGACUCUACAAGACAUAGGUGAGGAUGCAAUCCGCAGAACUCUAACUGACACUAUGUGGCAACAGAGAAGAACACAUCUCACAAUCUCAAGUCUUCAAAGAAUACAAAAUAACACACGUAGUCUGUAAAAUACCCGCCUUGGGAGCCAGGAGGAAUGUACCAAAGAAUCUGAGUCAUGGUGUCAGGUGAAAUAUGCAUCCCUCUGCCUUUCUAACUCUUAAAAUGAGUAGCUCCUCUAACUUUUUAAAACAUAAGCCAACAUCCUCAUUAUUUAGAAAGGCUUCUUCCUAGUUUUUAAUAAUAAUAAUAAAAAAUAACCUGUUAGGAAUGGGCUCAAGUGAGUCGGGAAAAAUAAGAGUUGAGCUUUUUCAAAUUUGGAAAAAGACCUCUUCUCACCAGAGCAUGAAAAUUGCUCUUCUUCCUACCCUGAUUUUCUUUUGCUUUUCUAGGUAAAAUGCUAAUUUUGAUGAUCUCUUUAUGUUGCUUAAGACUGCCUCCCCACACAACCUCUGGGCGGCGAGGUGACUAUUCUCCAAUGGACUCUCUUACUGUGGUGGAUCAUGGCCCUGCCCACACACCUGCCCCUCAGAAGAGCAUCGGGAGUUAGGACCAGCAGAGACGCUGGACUUCCCCCUCCAGUGUUUCCAAAAGUGGGGGCCUUUGGGGGAGGAGAGGUAUGGGCCGUGUUUUACUUACUUCUUCAAUUCACUUUGGGUUGAUAAUUGCAUCCUAGCUCUACAUAUAAGUCAUUUAGGAGUUCCCCGGCGGCUUAGGGGUUAAGGGUCUGCUGUUGUCACUGCUACAGUACAGGUUGGAUGCCUGAUCCGGGAGCUUCUACAUGCCACACGCAUGGAGAAGUCAUAAUAAAUGUAAGGCAUUUAUACCUGGUUUUAUAAUUAUAUAUUUUGGAAUCACUACAUUAGAAAUAUUUUCAAGCAACCCUGGGGAGCAUGCGAAUCCUUCCUUUAGAAGGGAUCAGCCCUUAGGAAGCCUCCACCUCCUUAGGUGGUGAGGACGCCUGAGUUCCAGGGAAGAGAGAGGUGGAGCCCUGCUCCUGGGGGCGGGGAGACGAGGCAGGGUUUAGAAGCUCCGUCUGGCACUGCUCUGCCACAGUGCCUGUCACAGGGCUGAGAGCUCAGGAGUGGUGUGGCUUCCUGAUGCCAGCAUUACCACGACGGUCAGAUUCGUAAUCCAGCCAGGACCUCUCCUCCCAGCUCCACACUGACACCCCGAGCUGCACACCUGACAGCUCAUCCUGGACAUCUCAGACGUGACACAGUGAAGGCAGGGUCCUUCCCAGGAUGGGGACACCCCCCCACCCCUCGGUCCAAACUCUAGUCGGGCUGCCCUGAGCCUUUUUCUCAACCAAGGGGCUCCUCCUCCCCCCAUCUUUACUGUGGGGGGAAUACACACGACGGAGAAUUUCCGCCAUGUUCAGUGGCAUCAAAGCACUUUCUCAAAGUUGUGCAACCAUCACGGUUGUCUAAGGCUCGAACUUCUACUUCUCCAUCACCUCCGGUGGAAACCCGCAUCCAGGAGGCAACCACUUUCCACUCCCCUCCGCGAUCCCCCGACCCCCAGUGCCUGGCAGCCGCUCAUAUGCAUCCUGUCUGUGUGGAUUUGCCUGUUCCGAAUAUAUCACAGAAAUGGAGUCAUACUCUGUGGUCUGUUGUGUCUGCUUCUUUCCCUCAGCAUGCUGUUUUCAAGGCUCAUCCUUACGGAAGCAUGUUAUCAGGGAUUCAUUCCUUUUUAGGGCUGAAUAAUAUUCCGCUGCAUGGAGAGACCACACAUUGUAUAACCAUUCACCUAUUGAUGGACAUUUGGGUUUUCCCCAACUUUGGACUAUUGUGAAUAGAGCUGUCGUGAAUAUCCACGGACAAGUUUUUGUUUGAACACCUGCCUUCAAUUCUUUUGGGUCCAGACCCAGUAGUGUGGUGAUUCCACGUUAACUUCAGCAGGCUGUUUUCCAUAGCGUCCUCUCAGUACAUUCUUUUGUGCUUAAGACAUUGAAGGAUCCUGACUCUCUCAUUC
rnacentral:lncRNA from 1 species